CACUAAGAAGCUAAAUGUGUAGCGUUAGCCUUUUAAGCUAAAGAGUGGUGGCUCACAACCACCCUUAGUGA
rnacentral:tRNA from 1 species